UUCUUCUGUCCACCAUCGAAACACCCAAAAUCGUUCUUCCGGUCUGCCAUUCUUCUCUUUGUCCAUUCUUCCCGUCCACCGUUCUUCCCUUCGCCCAUUCUUACCGUUCGAAAACCCAAGCUCUUUUGCCGUUUGAGAAGUAGCCGUCCCUUGCAUUUUCGCCGUCCUACGUCCAUUGUGUACGAGCCUAAACCGCCAUUCGAAAAGAAGAAGACAGAAAACUUCAAGUUUCUUCACCGAAAAUGUCAGUCCUUUGGCCGACUUUUAUACCGGAAAACUCAGUCCUUAGUUUCAGCAAUUACAUUCAAGAUACAUCAAGAUAAAUCACCAUUUUCAGUGAAACCCUUACUCUUCUUGAAUAGGCAUCAAACGGAGAAGUGAAAAGGAUGGAUGCAGGCUCAUCACUACUACUCAAGGUCAUAUUUAUCUACCUUUCUUCCUCUUGCUUCUCUUCCAUUCCAAGUAAAGUUUUUUCUUGUGACUAAUGUCUACGAGUUCGUUCAAGCAAGAGGAUGAUUUUGAAAAGAGACAUACUAAGGCAGCCCGGAUUAGUGAAAAAUACCCCGACAAAAUUCCGAUAAGAUUCUUUUCUUGUUGGUUAUUAUUCUGUAUCCAAUUUAGAUUUUCUUGAUUUUUGUGUACUGAGUUUGGAGUUGGUUGACCUUAACUGCGUAAUAGUAUAUAUGAUUGUAU